rnacentral:rRNA from 1 species
AUUCCAGCUCCAAUAGCGUAUAUUAAAGUUGUUGCGGUUAAAAAGCUCGUAGUUGGAUCUCGGCGGGCAGGGGGUGGUUCGCUCUUCAGCGCUACUGCCCCGCUUUGCCCGUGUGAUUGGCGGAGGUUUCGGGGUGCUCUUCGUUGAGUGACUCGGAGCGCCGUCAGGUUUACUUUGAAAAAAUUAGAGUGCUCAAAGCAGGCUUUUCACGCUUGAAUAUUCGUGCAUGGAAUAAUGGAAUAGGAACUCGUUUCUAUUUUGUUGGUUUUCGGAAAUCGAGUUAAUGAUUAACAGGGACAAUUGGGGGCAUUAGUAUUCAGACGACAGAGGUGAAAUUCUUGGAUUUAUGAAAGAUGAACUUAUGCGAAAGCAUUUACCAUGGAUGUUUUCAUUA